rnacentral:rRNA from 1 species
GACGAACGCUGGCGGCGUGCUUAACACAUGCCAGUCGAACGGAAAGGCCCUGCUUUUGUGGGGUGCUCGUGUGGCGAACGGGUGAGUAACACGUGAGUAACCUGCCCUUGACUUUGGGAUAACUUCAGGAAACUGGGGCUCAUACCGGAUAUGAGCUCCUGCUGCAUGGUGGGGGUUGGAAAGUUUCGGCGGUUGGGGAUGGACUCGCGGUGUAUCGGCUUGUUGGUGGGGUAGUGGCUUACCAAGGCUUUGACGGGUAGCCGACCUGAGAGGGUGGUCGGCCGCCCUGGAGGGGGGACGGGGACCAGAGGCCUGCGGGACGGAGCAGUAGGCAACCGGCGGCAAGGGGCGGGAACAUUGCACAACGGGGGGGAGCCAGAGGCAACAAUCUCCGGAUCGGGAUGACGGGCUUCGGGGGGUAAACCGCUUUCGCCUGUGACGAAGCGUGAGUGACGGUAAUGGGUAAAGAAGCAACGGCUAACUACGUG